rnacentral:rRNA from 1 species
AAUGAACGCUGGCGGCAGGCCUAACACAUGCAAGUCGAGCGAGCGGCGGACGGGUGAGUAAUGUAUGGGGACUGCCCGAUAGAGGGGGAUAAAUACUGGAAACGGUAGCUAAUACCGAAUACUAUCGGAUAACACAGAUGGGAUUAGCUAGUAGGUGAGGUAAUGGCUAACCUAGGCGACGAUCCCUAGCUGGUCUGAGAGGAUGAUCAGCCACACUGGGACUGAGACACGGCCCAGACUCCUACGGAGGCAGCAGUGGGGAAUAUGGCACAAUGGGCGCAAGCCUGAUGCAGCCAUGCCGCGUGUAUGAAGAAGGCCCUAGGGUUGUAAAGUACUUUCAGUCGGGAGGCGUUACCGACAGAAGAAGCACCGGCUAACUCCGUGCCAGCAGCCGCGGUAAUAC